GUGCCGGAGACGGACCGUGCCCGAGGAGCCUGGCUCCUGUCUGCCCGCAGCCCCUGUUCCCUUCUCGGAGCCUCCGGGGGGAGCUUGGACUCGCCUCUCGCGCAGCUGCUGCACUCGGGCCCUGGCUGCUUGGGUUACAAGUGUAAAGAGCUGCUGAGGCUCCCCCUGGCCGGGCAGGGAGCAAGGACCAGAGCCCUGCCCAAGGCCAUGUCCUGUCGGGGGGGGGGUCUGGCCCUGCUCCCCUCCCUGCAGGGCGGUCCAGGGGGCGGCCCCCACGGGCGCAGGGAUAAAGCAGCUGCUGCAGCCAGGCACAGGGUAGCGCAGGGCACGCUCCGGCCAUGGGAGGCAAGAAGGUCUGCAUCGUCGGCUCUGGCAACUGGGGCUCUGCCAUUGCCAAGAUCGUGGGUGGCAACGCAGCACGGCUGCAGCACUUUGAGCCGGCCGUGAGCCUCUGGGUCUUCGACGAGGAUGUGGGUGGCGCACGGCUCAGCGACAUCAUCAACACCCGGCACGAAAAUGUCAAGUACCUGCCGGGCCACCGCCUGCCUGACAACGUCGUGGCCGUGCCUGACCUGGUGCAGGCGGCGGCGGGGGCUGAGGUGCUGAUCUUCGUGGUGCCACACCAGUUCGUGAGCGGCAUCUGCGAGCAGCUCCGUGAGCACGUGCGCAAGGAUGCCAUCGGCGUGUCGCUCAUCAAGGGCGUGGACGAAGGCCCCGACGGGCUGAAGCUGAUCUCGGAUAUCAUCCGUGAGCGCCUGGGCAUUGAGAUGAGCGUCCUGAUGGGGGCCAACAUCGCCAACGAGGUGGCGGAGGAGAAGUUCUGCGAGACAACCAUCGGCUCCAAGAACCCGGAGCACGGGCAGAUCCUGAAAGAGCUGCUGCAGACGCCCAACUUCCGGAUCACCGUGGUGCAGGACGCUGACACCGUGGAGAUCUGCGGGGCCCUCAAGAACGUCGUUGCCGUGGGGGCUGGCUUCUGCGACGGCUUGGGCUUCGGGGACAACACCAAGGCGGCCGUGAUCCGCCUGGGGCUGAUGGAGAUGAUCGCCUUCGCCAAGCUCUUCUGCAAGGGCCCCGUCACCUCUGCCACCUUCCUGGAGAGCUGCGGCAUCGCCGACCUCAUCACCACCUGCUACGGCGGCCGGAACCACAAGGUGGCCGAGGCCUUCGCCAAGACCGGGAAGGUGCGUCCAGGAAGGGAAUACCGGGCAGCGGGGCCAGGCCUGGAGCCGGGGGGGGGAGGGAGGCUGGCAGAGGGGCUCGCAGCAGCUCCAUGGCUGCGGCCCCCUGCUCCGGCCCAGGGAGGGCGAGUCAGGAGGGCCAGGGCGGUGCAACCGAGGCUCUGCUCCGGGGCUCGUUUCAGUCCAUCGAGCAGCUGGAGAAGGAGAUGCUGAACGGGCAGAAGCUGCAGGGCCCGCAGACGGCCGCGGAGCUGCACCACAUCCUCAAGCCCAAGAACCUGGUGGAGAAGUUCCCCCUCUUCACUGCCGUCUAUCAGAUCUGCUACAAGGGCAGACCCGUGGCGGAGUUCAUCACGUGCCUCCAGAGCCACCCCGAGCACAUCUAGCGGGCCCGGGCCGUCGGCCAAGCCGCUGACCUUGCUGCGCCCCCCGCUCCCUGCCUGCUGCUUCUGCCGCCUGUGCCCUCGCGUGCGGGGCGACGCCAGGGCCUUCGCGCACCGUCGACGGCACGAGGGGAAGGAGCUUGCCCCGCAGCCCUGGGCCUGCAGAGGUACCGGCGCAGCCCGCUUCGCGCCCGGGGCCGUGGGGAUCUGCUCCGUGUCGGAGUCCAGCGCAGGCGCCGCUGUGGGCAUGGGCGCGGCCCAGGGCCUGCCUUGCUGCUGCGCCGGCUGCUUCCUCCGCCUUCCCCUUCGCC